UGAACCAGUACCGUGAGGGAAAGGCGAAAAGAACCCCGGCGAGGGGAGUGAAAAAGAACCUGAAACCGUGUACGUACAAGCAGUGGGAGCCCCACCACUAAGCCAGUGGUGAACUCCACAUACGCAUCCUUUGCUGAGGAUACGGUUAACGGAGCGAAAGCGACGUUCAACCGCAAAAGAAGCAGAGGGGGCUUAGUGGUGGGGUGACUGCGUACCUUUUGUAUAAUGGGUCAGCGACUUAUAUUCUGUAGCAAGGUUAACCGAAUAGGGGAGCCGGAGGGAAACCGAGUCUUAAUUGGGCGUUAAGUUGCAGGGUAUAGACCCGAAACCCGGUGAUCUAGCCAUGGGCAGGUUGAAGGUUGGGUAACACUAACUGGAGGACCGAACCGACUAAUGUUGAAAAAUUAGCGGAUGACCUGUGGCUGGGGGUGAAAGGCCAAUCAAACCGGGAGAUAGCUGGUUCUCCCCGAAAGCUAUUUAGGUAGCGCCUCGUGAAUUCAUCUCCGGGGGUAGAGCACUGUUUCGGCUAGGGGGCCAUCCCGGCUUACCAACCCGAUGCAAACUGCGAAUACCGGAGAAUGUUAUCACGGGAGACACACGGCGGGUGCUAACGUCCGUCGUGAAGAGGGAAACAACCCAGACCGCCAGCUAAGGUCCCAAAGUCAUGGUUAAGUGGGAAACGAUGUGGGAAGGCCCAGACAGCCAGGAUGUUGGCUUAGAAGCAGCCAUCAUUUAAAGAAAGCGUAAUAGCUCACUGGUCGAGUCGGCCUGCGCGGAAGAUGUAACGGGGCUAAACCAUG
rnacentral:rRNA from 1 species